rnacentral:rRNA from 1 species
AUUGACCGCUGGCGGCAGGUUGAACACUUGCAAGUCGAGUGACCGGCGGACGGGUGACUAAGGUCUGGGAAACUGCCUGCUGGUGGGGGAUAACUACUGGCCACGGGAGCUAAUCCAGCAUACCAUCAGUUCAGCCCAGCUGGGAUUAGAUAGUCGGUGGGGUAAUGGCUCACCUAGGCGACGAUCCGUAGCUGGUCUGAGAGGAUGACCAGCCAGACUGGGACAGAGACAGGUUCCAGACGCCUAAGGGAGGCAGCCGUGGGGACUAUUGCACAAUGGGCGCAAGCCUGAUACAGCCAGGCCGAGUGUAUGAAGAAGGCCUGCGGGUGGUAGAGUGCGUUCAGAGAGGAGGCGUUAUUCGCAGAAGAAACACCGGCUGACCCCGGGCCAGCAGCCGCGGUAAUAC